CCAGCAGUUAAGUGCCACAUGCCCCACCUACUCACAGCCAUGGUCAGGACCUAGUCCCACAGUCACCGAGAAGCUGGGAGGGAUGGAGACGUGCCUGGCCAUUUGGAAAGCACCGAUGUUUUCCUACCACAGGCCCGGCUCAUAAUGGAGCGCAGGAUGAUUUCAGAUGGUAUUUGCAGAUAGUUUGCAGUGAACAUAGGUAGGAAAGACGGAAGACACCAUUGAGCCUGAAAACCAUUUGCUGACCACCUCUGGAGUUGGGUGGGCACACACUCCCACCUGAUUGGCACCCAGUAUGACCUGCCUCAACCAAGUUUCUAGGGUCCCUGUCACCAGAACUGGAAACCAUAGCAUCUCCCUGUUCGUGGGAUGGAGAGGACCCUGCCAAGCCCCCUCACCACUAGCUGAACCUCGGUAACUGACCUCGUGGCUUCCCUCUGAAGGGGUCGUGUCUCUGGAAGACCCAACAGAUCCACCCAAGGUCUCUGGGGACUUACCCCUCUCCACUCCCCAGUUCAUUUUCAUGAUCAUCCCGUAUGAAGCCCUCUGUGCCCCCACCCACCCCAUUUCACUCCCCUUGGGUAGAUCUUAUCUUCUCCUG